rnacentral:rRNA from 1 species
AUUGAACGCUGGCGGCGUGCUUAACACAUGCAAGUCGAACGAGAACGGAUUAUAGCUUGCUAUAAUUGUCAGCUAAGUGGCGCACGGGUGAGUAAUGUAUAGGUAAUAUGCCUUUUACUAAGGAAUAACAAAUGGAAACGUUUGCUAAUACCUUAUACUCCUUAUUAACCUAAGUUAAUAAGGGAAAGAUUUAUUGGUAAGAGAUUAGCCUGUAUUGUAUCAGUUAGCUGGUGGGGUAAUGGCUUACCAAGACUAUGACACAUAACUGGUUUGAGAGGAUGAUCAGUCACACUGGAACUGAGACACGGUCCAGACUCCUACGGGAGGCAGCAGUGGGGAAUAUUGCACAAUGGACGGAAGUCUGAUGCGGCAACGCCGCGUGGAGGAUGACACAUUUCGGUGCGUAAACUCCUUUUAUAUGAGAAGAUAAUGACGGUAUUAUAUGAAUAAGCACCGGCUAACUCCGUGCCAGCAGCCGCCGUAA